rnacentral:rRNA from 1 species
GUGGGGAAUUUUGGACAAUGGGGGCAACCCUGAUCCAGCCAUCCCGCGUGUGCGAUGAAGGCCUUCGGGUUGUAAAGCACUUUUGGCAGGAAAGAAAUCGCACGGGAUAAUACCUCGUGUGGAUGACGGUACCUGCAGAAUAAGCACCGGCUAACUACGUGCCAGCAGCCGCGGUAAUACGUAGGGUGCAAGCGUUAAUCGGAAUUACUGGGCGUAAAGCGUGCGCAGGCGGUUCGGAAAGAAAGAUGUGAAAUCCCAGGGCUUAACCUGGGAACUGCAUUUGUGACUGCAUGGCUAGAGUGCGUCAGAGGGAGGUGGAAUUCCGCGUGUAGCAGUGAAAUGCGUAGAGAUGCGGAGGAACACCGAUGGCGAAGGCAGCCUCCUGGGAUAACACUGACGCUCAGGCACGAAAGCGUGGGGAGCAAACAGGAUUAGAUACCCUAGUAGUCC